rnacentral:tRNA from 1 species
GCCAAUGUGGCGUAGUAGUUUGAGUGUUGGACUGGGACUCUGGAGACCAGGGUUCAAAUCCUGGCUGGGCCA